rnacentral:rRNA from 1 species
GAUGAACGCUAGCGGCAGGCUUAACACAUGCAAGUCGAGGGGCAGCGCGGGAUAGCAAUAUCCUGGCGGCGACCGGCGGAAGGGUGCGUAACGCGUGAGCGACAUGCCCGUUGCCCGGGGACAACCGGUGGAAACGCCGACUAAUCCCCGAUGGGAUACGAUGCUUCAUGGCAUUGUAUUGAAAGUUACGGCGGCGACGGAUUGGCUCGCGUCCGAUUAGCUGGUUGGCGGGGUAACGGCCCACCAAGGCUGCGAUCGGUAGGGGUUCUGAGAGGAAGGCCCCCGACAAUGGGACUGAGACACGGCCCAUACGCCUACGGGAGGCAGCAGUGAGGAAUAUUGGUCAAUGGGCGGAAGCCUGAACCAGCCAUGCCGCGUGCGGGAAGGAGGCCCUAUGGGCUGUGAACCGCUUUUGCCUGGGGGCAAUAAGGGCGUCGCGCACGUCCGAUGAGAGUACCAGGCGAAUAAGCAUCGGCUAACUCCGUG